AUUGCUUUGUAUUUGCUUGUUUAUUGUCCACGAAAGACUUGCAAGGGUGAAUGCAAGCUGCGAAGUGCCAAAAUCAGGGAAUGAAACGUUGGCCUCUAUUCCGCCAGUAUUAGGUUCGGUGGAUUGGAGGAACCUUGGUGAUUAUCCAGGGCAUAGAAUUAAAAGAUUCAUAAAGAAAAACAACUUAAAGAAAAGUAUUACAGAAGCCGAAUCAAGACUGGUGUUUUGUAAUGCGAGAGAAGCAAAAUUUCAAAUUCCUGAUCUGCUUCCAAUGCUAAUAGCAGAACAAACAUGCUCUCCGUUUGACACACAAGUUACCAUACCAGAUAGAGUGUUAAUUGAAGGCUUUAAAUGUUGGAUAUUGGAAUCAUGGCGCAAAGUUAGAAGAUGUAGUUAUGUUCAAUGUAACUCAGGCAUGGAUGACUGUCAAGUACCAUUAUCCACCAGUAGACCUGUUCCUGAUAAGUUUAAGUGCCGAGCCACAAAUCCGAGAUUAUUAAAGGUGUAUGCAUUUUGUGUUGAUGACAGCAGAAGAAGACGUCAGUACCACAUGACGCAUUUUACCAUUCCUCUUCCUCAAUGCUGUACUUGUGUUCGAUUUCAAUGUUUAAGGAAAGGAUGAUUGAUAAUUGCUUAUGAUUUUUUAGUGAUUGUUACUUCGUUAAAAUAUCUUAAUUAUAUCACUUUUAAAAUCAAUAAACAAAUGAUUAAAAUAAGCUGGUAAAAAUUGUUAACGUCUGUACAUUGUAAUUUUUCAAGUUGCUUAAACAAAGAGGUGGGUGUUUUUGUU